GCGGGAGUGGCGGAAUGGCAGACGCGAAGGCCUUAGGAGCCUUUGUCCUAACGGGCGUGGGGGUUCGAGUCCCCCCUUCCGCAC
rnacentral:tRNA from 1 species